rnacentral:rRNA from 1 species
AGCGAACGCUGGCGGCAGGCCUAACACAUGCAAGUCGAACGAAGUCUUCGGACUUAGUGGCGGACGGGUGAGUAACACGUGGGAACGUGCCUUUAGGUUCGGAAUAACUCAGGGAAACUUGUGCUAAUACCGAAUGUGCCCUUCGGGGGAAAGAUUUAUCGCCUUUAGAGCGGCCCGCGUCUGAUUAGCUAGUUGGUGAGGUAAAGGCUCACCAAGGCUACGAUCAGUAGCUGGUCUGAGAGGAUGACCAGCCACAUUGGGACUGAGACACGGCCCAAACUCCUACGGGAGGCAGCAGUGGGGAAUCUUGCGCAAUGGGCGAAAGCCUGACGCAGCCAUGCCGCGUGAAUGAUGAAGGUCUUAGGAUUGUAAAAUUCUUUCACCGGGGACGAUAAUGACGGUACCCGGAGAAGAAGCCCCGGCUAACUUCGUGCCAGCAGCCGCCGUAACAC